rnacentral:rRNA from 1 species
GGACAGAAAGACCCUAUGAAGCUUUACUGUAACUUGAAAUUGAAAUUGGACUUUAUUUGCGCAGUAUAGGUGGGAGGCAUUGAAAAUAUUCUUGCGGGAGUAUUGGAGCCAUCAGUGAGAUACCACUCUUGUAAUGUUAGACUUCUAACUUUGGAUCAUUAUCUGGUCAAAGAACAGUUUCAGGCGGGCAGUUUGACUGGGGCGGUCGCCUCCCAAACGGUAACGGAGGCGUACAAAGGUUUCCUCUGAACGGGUAGAAAUCGUAUCUAGAGUGUAAAGGCAUAAGGAAGCUUGACUGUGAGACCUACAAGUCGAGCAGGGACGAAAGUCGGUCUUAGUGAUCUGACGGUGCUGAGUGGAAAGGCCGUCACUCAACGGAUAAAAGUUACUCUAGGGAUAACAGGCUGA